UAUUCUUCCGAUGUGGGAAGGAUGAGAAGCUUCGACUAAGGUUCGAUUCGAGCGUUAGCGAGAAAGCGUUGCCGCAGGCAUCGACCCGAAGGGCGAAGCGCGCAGCGCUGAGUAAUCCUUCCCCCACCACCA
rnacentral:sRNA from 1 species